AGACUGACGCUCAGGUGCGAAAGCGUGGGGAGCAAACAGGAUUAGAUACCUGGUAGUCACGCUGUAAACGAUGUCGAUUUGGAGGUUGUUCCCUUGAGGAGUGGCUUCCGGAGCUAACGCGUUAAAUCGACCGCCUGGGGAGUACGGCCGCAAGGUUAAAACUCAAAUGAAUUGACGGGGGCCCGCACAAGCGGUGGAGCAUGUGGUUUAAUUCGAUGCAACGCGAAGAACCUUACCUACUCUUGACAUCCAGAGAAUUUAGCAGAGAUGCUUUAGUGCCUUCGGGAACUCUGAGACAGGUGCUGCAUGGCUGUCGUCAGCUCGUGUUGCGAAAUGUUGGGUUAAGUCCCGCAACGAGCGCAACCCUUAUCCUUUGUUGCCAGCACAUUAUGGUGGGAACUCAAAGGAGACUGCCGGUGAUAAACCGGAGGAAGGUGGGGAUGACGUCAAGUCAUCAUGGCCCUUACGAGUAGGGCUACACACGUGCUACAAUGGCGUAUACAAAGAGAAGCGACCUCGCGAGAGCAAGCGGAACUCAUAAAGUACGUCGUAGUCCGGAUUGGAGUCUGCAACUCGACUCCAUGAAGUCGGAAUCGCUAGUAAUCGUAGAUCAGAAUGCUACGGUGAAUACGUUCCCGGGCCUUGUACACACCGCCCGUCACACCAUGGGAGUGGGUUGCAAAAGAAGUAGGUAGCUUAACCUUCGGGAGGGCGCUUACCACUUUGUGAUUCAUGACUGGGGUGAAGUCGUAACAAGGUAACCA
rnacentral:rRNA from 1 species